rnacentral:rRNA from 1 species
GAUGAACGCUGGCGGCGUGCCUAAUACAUGCAAGUCGAGCGAAUGGAUUAAGAGCUUGCUCUUAUGAAGUUAGCGGCGGACGGGUGAGUAACACGUGGGUAACCUGCCCAUAAGACUGGGAUAACUCCGGGAAACAGGGGCUAAUACCGGAUAACAUUUUGAACCGCAUGGUUCGAAAGUGAAAGGCGCCUUCGGCUGUCACUUAUGGAUGGACCCGGGUCGCAUUAGCUAGUUGGUGAGGUAACGGCUCACCAAGGCAACGAUGCGUAUCCGACCUGGGAGGGUGAUCGGCCACACUGGGACUGAGACACGGCCCAGACUCCUACGGGAGGCAGCAGUGGGGAAUCUUCCGCAAUGGACGAAAGUCUGACGGAGCAACGCCGCGUGAGUGAUGAAGGCUUUCGGGUCGUAAAACUCUGUUGUUAGGGAAGAACAAGUGCUAGUUGAAUAAGCUGGCACCUUGACGGUACCUAACCAGAAAGCCACGGCUAACUACGUGCCAGCCGCCGCCGUAA